rnacentral:rRNA from 1 species
GAUGAACGCUAGCGGCAGGCCUAACACAUGCAAGUCGAGGGAGGAGCUUUCGGGCUUCGACCGGCGUACGGGUGCGUAACGCGUAUACAAUCUGCCUUUCACAUAGGGAUAGCCCGAAGAAAUUUGGAUUAAUACCUAAUGGUAUAUAGGAGUGGCAUCACCUUUAUAUUAAAGCUGAGGCGGUGAAAGAUGAGUAUGCGUUCUAUUAGCUAGUUGGAGAGGUAACGGCUCCCCAAGGCGACGAUAGAUAGGGGUUCUGAGAGGGAUAUCCCCCACACUGGUACUGAGAUACGGACCAGACUCCUACGGGAGGCAGCAGUGAGGAAUAUUGGACAAUGGUCGGAAGACUGAUCCAGCCAUGCCGCGUGCAGGAAGACGGCCUUAUGGGUUGUAAACUGCUUUUGCAGGGGAAGAAUAAGGUGUACGUGUACUUUGAUGACGGUACUCUGCGAAUAAGCAUCGGCUAACUCCGUG